CACGUAGUUAGCCGGGGCUUCUUAGUCAGGUACCGUCCAAAGUCCUGUGGACUUUUUUUCUUCCCUGCUGAUAGAGCUUUACGUACCGAAAUACUUCUUCACUCACGCGGCGUCGCUGCAUCAGGGUUUCCCCCAUUGUGCAAUAUCCCCCACUGCUGCCUCCCGUAGGAGUCUGGGCCGUGUCUCAGUCCCAAUGUGGCCGUUCACCCUCUCAGGCCGGCUACUGAUCGUUGCCUUGGUGGGCUUUUACCUCACCAACUAGCUAAUCAGACGCGGAACCAUCGUAUACCACCGGAGUUUUUCACACUGCUUCAUGCGAAGCUGUGCGCUUAUGCGGUAUUAGCACCUAUUUCUAAGUGUUAUCCCCCAGUAUACGGCAGGUUUUCCACGCGUUACUCACCCGUCCGCCACUAACUUAUAAUUCACUAGGUUUCGUUAUAAGUCCGUUCGACUUGCAUGUGUUAGGCACGCCGCCAGCGUUCAUCCUGAGCCAGGAUCAAACUCU
rnacentral:rRNA from 1 species